rnacentral:rRNA from 1 species
UACAGAGGGUGCUAGCGUUGUUCGGAAUCAUUGGGCGUAAAGGGCGUGUAGGCGGUUUGUUAAGUCAUGUGUGAAAUCCCUCGGCUCAACCGGGGAACGACGCAUGAAACUGGCAAGCUAGAGUACCAAAGAGGGGGGUGGAAUUCCCGGUGUAGCGGUGAAAUGCGUAGAUAUCAGGAGGAACACCGAUGGCGAAGGCAGGUCUCUGGGCUGACACUGACGCUCAUGCACGAAAGCGUGGGGAGCAAACAGG